rnacentral:lncRNA from 1 species
AGUGUUCCAAAAGCUGGCUCUUGGCUGCACGCCGUUUCAACACGGUGGAAUUGUCUGCAAAACACGCGCAUCUUCCGAAACCGGCGGGAUAGGCAGGAUACGGUGGACGACUGCCCUGGGGUGGUCGGCCAAAAUGAAUGCCCCGCUUCAGUUGCCCGUUCAGACUGCUCUCCUCCUUGCGUUAGCAUGUUCUCUGGCGAUCUGUUUGCUGAUCGCGUACGUCACGUUCGUAUUUCUACCCUGUGGAAGGCGAGUGCAGAAGAGACGGAGAGAGACUGCACCAGAUUUUGCGGGCCAGCUUGAUGGCAUGGGUAACCUCCGCAGAAGAGGAAGCAUAGAAUGCAUGCAGUAUGAUGGAUACUGAAAGUCCCCCAGUAACGUACUCAUGCUUGAGCGAAGGCGCUUCAGGCCUUUUUUCGUAUACAUUUUUUGGUUCCAUCCCUUCUCUGUUCACUUUUUGGAAGUGCGCGCGACGCUGCACCGGCAGCCAACUUUAUCCACAGACCCAUCAGCGUUUAUUUCAAGGGGCAUUUAAAACAUCCGUGUGUCUGCAGCUGUAGAACAGACAGAGGGGUUUUGUUAGAUUCUUGACCUGGCGCCUGUUGAGUAACCGGAUGAACGCCUUUUUCGUUAUCAAAAAUUCAU